UGCACUCACUACUGUAAGUCGCUCUGGAUAAGAGAGUCUGCUAAAUUAGUAAAA
rfam:Salmo salar isolate Sally breed double haploid chromosome ssa03, whole genome shotgun sequence.